CCCAGUGCUCCACAAGCCAAAUCCAAACAAUUCCAGCGUUCCACACUUUGAUCUGCACUAUAACAAAAGUCCUCUCUUCACCAGCUGCCUCUUUAUCAAGUAGUAAGUGAGGUGCGCGCAGUGUGCAACCAGCAGCCUUGCCCCGUUCGCGCUCUCUGGCUCGCACACACAUGCACUCUCGUCUCGGGGGCUGGAGGUAUGUGGUCUAAACACAACAAAAAGUCUGAGUCGAAGAUUGAAUAUGCAGGAAGAGGGCCUCCGUUUGCAUAAACACAAACACUCAGCAAAUGAAGGGCUGGCACCGAUUGCACCACUGCCUGCUGGGAAACGCAUACCUAUCCCGUUCUGACCCUGGAAUACUUUAAUCAAACUACAGCUGAGAAGACAUGGACUACACUGGAGAUAAACAACAAAUGUUUGGUUUGAUGAUCCCCAAAUGAACAACAGCAGAGAGAGGCCAAGAAUGGAAUCGGGAUAUGAUCAGAAUUCAAACCUGCAUUUCUCCCACACUGCAGGAAACACGUUGAGAGUGUGCUAAUGCGCCCAGCCCAAAAUCCAGACCAGCUUCACAAUACAGGCCACUACCCCGAGCUCCAGCAUGCCCCCUAUCAG